GGCCCAGCAUUGAACCUUCAAGAAUUUAGACACAAUCCCCUAUCUAUACUCCUCCCAAGAGGCUGCAGCAACACCUUGUUAUAAACCCUAAUCCUCCAAACACUCCAAUCCCUAAUUAGAGCAUUCUUCUUGUUGCCGCUCUCUAUCGGUUUGUUGGUAACAAAAGCUCAAUUUUCGACCAAUUGCAAUCUUAAUAUUUUUCGUGUAUGGUCUUCUUCUUCUUCUUCUUCUUCUUCUUCAGUGCCGCUGGUUUUCUCCGGACCCUUUUGAGGACACAAUAUAGAUGAGCAGGGACUAUUUCGAUCGGUUGGAUUAGUGACCCAGUAGCUUGACCUAUUCAAUCCCCCGCCGGAUUUUGAAAAUAUUGGGUAGCACACAAAAGCACAAAUACUGGGAGAUGGGACUUGGGAGAAAGAAUCCAAUGGGAUUUUCCAGAAAUUGUUCAUUCCUUUCUAAUUAGGUGUCACUUUUAAUAUUCCACCAAGUAUUGGGUGUCCCUUUCAUCCUGUGAGUAACUUCUCCACUCUUCACCACCACAAUUCGUUUUAUGGUGCAAGGCCAAGGUGCUGGCUAGUGGGGCUACUCUUGGGAAAAAUGGUGGAAUUGAAUUUUUGAUUUAUCCAAUUAUAAUAAAUAAUUGAAUGUAUUUUCAUUA